rnacentral:rRNA from 1 species
UACGAAGGGGGCUAGCGUUGUUCGGAUUUACUGGGCGUAAAGCGCACGUAGGCGGAUCGUUAAGUCGGGGGUGAAAUCCUGGAGCUCAACUCCAGAACUGCCUUCGAUACUGGCGAUCUUGAGUCCGGAAGAGGUGAGUGGAACUCCUAGUGUAGAGGUGAAAUUCGUAGAUAUUAGGAAGAACACCGGUGGCGAAGGCGGCCCACUGGAUCGGUACUGACGCUGAGGUGCGAAAGCGUGGGGAGCAAACAGG